AAAUGAAUACAGGUAGCCUACUGGUAAAUGAAUACAGGUAGCCUACUGGUAAAUGAAUACAGAAUAAUACAGGUAGCCUACUGGUAAAUGAAUACAGAAUAAUACAGGUAGCCUACUGGUAAAUUAAUACUGGUAGCCUACUGGUAAAUGAAUACAGAAUAAUACAGGUAGCCUACUGGUAAAUUAAUACAGAAUAAUACAGGUAGCCUACUGGUAAAUUAAAGUGUAUCUAUUUGAAAAAGCAGGAGAAGGCUCAAUGUUCAAGACUGUGUUGUGAAUGAUGCUUAUAUUUUUCUCGUUGUGUUUUGUUGGCCUGGGCAUAGCUGGCUAUUGGGCAAUUUGCAUGUAAGUGUAGUACUGUAUUGUACAUUAGGUGAGUUGCUGUUUUUAAUAUUAUAUGAUGAUGUUUAACAAUGAUAAUUAAAUCCAGAAUAGUGGCA